CGUGCAGGCGGUUUCGUAAGUCGGACGUGAAAGCUCCUGGCUUAACUGGGAGAGGCCGUUCGAUACUGCGGGACUUGAGGUUGGGAGAGGGACGUGGAAUUCCCGGUGUAGUGGUGGAAUGCGUAGAUAUCGGGAGGAACACCAGUGGCGAAGGCGGCGUCCUGGCCCACACCUGACGCUGAGACGCGAAAGCGUGGGUAGCGAACG
rnacentral:rRNA from 1 species